rnacentral:rRNA from 1 species
CAUGUGGUUUAAUUCGAUGCAACGCGAAGAACCUUACCUGGUCUUGACAUCCACGGAAGUUUUCAGAGAUGAGAAUGUGCCUUCGGGAACCGUGAGACAGGUGCUGCAUGGCUGUCGUCAGCUCGUGUUGUGAAAUGUUGGGUUAAGUCCCGCAACGAGCGCAACCCUUAUCCUUUGUUGCCAGCGGUCCGGCCGGGAACUCAAAGGAGACUGCCAGUGAUAAACUGGAGGAAGGUGGGGAUGACGUCAAGCCAUCAUGGCCCUUACGACCAGGGCUACACACGUGCUACAAUGGCGCAUACAAAGAGAAGCGACCUCGCGAGAGCAAGCGGACCUCAUAAAGUGCGUCGUAGUCCGGAUUGGAGUCUGCAACUCGACUCCAUGAAGUCGGAAUCGCUAGUAAUCGUGGAUCAGAAUGCCACGGUGAAUAUGUCCCUGCUCCUU